rnacentral:rRNA from 1 species
CAGGCUCGAAAUGCAGAUGACCGCCGGUGAAAGCCGGUUUCCGCAAGGACAUCUGUAUAGGUGCUGCAUGGCUGUCGUCAGCUCGUGUCGUGAGAUGUUGGGUUAAGUCCCGCAACGAGCGCAACCCUUGUUCUCUGUUGCCAUCAGGUUAAGCUGGGCACUCUGAGAAGACUGCCGGUGAUAAACCGGAGGAAGGUGGGGAUGACGUCAAGUCAGCAUGGCCUUUA